GGUGAGUAACACGUGGGCAAUCUGCCCUAAAGACUGGGAUACCACUUGGAAACAGGUGCUAAUACCGGAUAACAACAUGAAUCGCAUGAUUCAAGUUUGAAAGGCGGCGCAAGCUGUCACUUUAGGAUGAGCCCGCGGCGCAUUAGCUAGUUGGUGGGGUAAAGGCCUACCAAGGCAAUGAUGCGUAGCCGAGUUGAGAGACUGAUCGGCCACAUUGGGACUGAGACACGGCCCAAACUCCUACGGGAGGCAGCAGUAGGGAAUCUUCCACAAUGGACGCAAGUCUGAUGGAGCAACGCCGCGUGAGUGAAGAAGGUCUUCGGAUCGUAAAGCUCUGUUGUUGGUGAAGAAGGAUAGAGGCAGUAACUGGUCUUUAUUUGACGGUAAUCAACCAGAAAGUCACGGCUAACUACGUGCCAGCAGCCGCGGUAAUACGUAGGUGGCAAGCGUUGUCCGGAUUUAUUGGGCGUAAAGCGAGCGCAGGCGGAAUGAUAAGUCUGAUGUGAAAGCCCACGGCUCAACCGUGGAACUGCAUCGGAAACUGUCAUUCUUGAGUGCAGAAGAGGAGAGUGGAACUCCAUGUGUAGCGGUGGAAUGCGUAAAUAUAUGGAAGAACACCAGUGGCGAAGGCGGCUCUCUGGUCUGCAACUGACGCUGAGGCUCGAAAGCAUGGGUAGCGAACAGGAUUAGAUACCCUGGUAGUCCAUGC
rnacentral:rRNA from 1 species